rnacentral:rRNA from 1 species
CCCUUAGAUGUCCUGGGCCGCACGCGCGCUACACUGAGUGUCUAAGAUACGAGUCUGCCUGGUCCGGCAAGGUCUAGGUAAUCGCUAAAAGACACAUCAUGCUUGGGAUAGAUUAUUGCAAAUAUUAAUCUUGAACGAGGAAUUCCUAGUAAGCGCAAGUCAACAGCUUGCGUUGAUUACGUCCCUGCCCUUUGUACACACCGCCCGUCGCUACUACUGAUUGGAUGUUUAAGCGAGGUUCUCGAACUGCUAGCGACUUAGCUUCGGUGAGGUCGCAGUGUGGGAAGUGAACCUAGCUUUGGUGUCUAGAGGAAGUAAAAGUCGUAACA